UNGGUCUACCAGUUGGAGCUGGGACUCUGC
rnacentral:piRNA from 1 species